UACGCAGCCUACGGAGGCUACUCUGCUGCUGCUCUGUGCCCCGCCUUCCGAAUUUGUCAUACGUCACUAAGAAAAGUGCGUACACUACGCUAAUACUCUCUCCUGAAUACAGAGGAGUCUAAGAUGGCAGCGCUACCAGAAGGUAGUUAUUUAUUUACGUUAAUAAAGUUUUAAAUAUGGAUAUUUCUACAACAACACCGCGCGGAUUACCCUCAGAAGACCUUUGUUUAUCAUCCUGGAGCCGUUUGGAUUUAUUUUGUGAAGGAUGGACGCACUUUUUUGGACUUGAAGGUCGUGGACCCCAUAACAUUACAUUUAAUCAACUGAAAGAUCUAAAACAUUUUCUAAAAUAUCCAAAAAUGUGUUUGUCUGAAAAACGAUGGACAUAUGCAACUCCGACAGCUUGGGGCCAGCGGUCCACCAUUGGAUGAUUGGCGCUGAGCGAAGAACGGGCCGUUUCACGUUGAAACUCCCUCUGACUGUUCCAUUGCCCUGCAUCACGAGGAAGACUACGGCUGUUGGUGCCAGUGGUAAAGCGGGGUUUCAUGAAGCCGGCGGUGGUUGACCAGCGUGUGUGGUUCUUCUUGAACGGUUCUUCAGGUUGUGAGUUCGCUUCGGAGAACGACACUGAUGUCAGGUUUAACAAUGCUGG